UACAGAGGUGGCAAGCGUUGUUCGGAAUUACUGGGCGUAAAGGGCGCGUAGGCGGUCUUGUAAGUCUUGUGUGAAAUCCCUCGGCUUAACUGAGGAACUGCACGGGAUACUGCGAGACUUGAGAUCGGGGAGAGGGAAGCGGAAUUCCGGGUGUAGCGGUGAAAUGCGUAGAUAUCUGGAGGAACACCGGUGGCGAAGGCGGCGUUUUGGACUGCAACUGACACUGAGGAACGAAAGCCAGGGGAGCAAACGGG
rnacentral:rRNA from 1 species